CUGCAAUACCAGUAGACUUGGCAGUAACCCAGUUUCAUCUGGAACACUGGACAGAAUAUCCCUUCUUUUAUGCAGUCUUGAAGGAAAUACAGAAACAAGCACCAAAGGUACAGAGAACUGCUUCUUGUACUGACAAUCUAAGUAAAAAGAAGCACACAUGAAUAGAAAUGUUGACUCACUGAUGUCUGGCAUAAAACGUCUCACUUGGACAUUAAAAUCUCUUCAAGUCUUUAAUUUUCCUAUUCCUUUCAAUCCCUCACUUCAAUAUUACAACAUUUGCAAAGACGGAGGAAUUACUGUAGCACUGGAUUCCCUUGACCUGCUGAAAGGUAACCUGAACAGUGGUUGUGUGAAAUGUGCACAGCUAUGUUGUUCUUAUUUUUUCUUUUUACUGUGGGUUUUGGGAACACUGUCAAUAUUUGGGGGUGAGGGGGAAAGAAAAAAAAAAAAAAAAAAAAAGAGGAUGAAGUUUAUUCACCCAUGCCAAAAAACAACUGAAAGAGCUAUUGGAUUCUGCAGGAUUAAAAAAUAAUUUAGAGAUUACUGUCUGGGUAUGCAGAAUAUGUUGCCAAGUAAAACAAAAAGGACUACAAAGAAAGGUAUUCUUUAUGGAUCCUGUCAGGGGCGUUGCUAGUAGACCAUAAGAAAAUCUUUAUAAUAUAAAGGGGGAGAAGAUAGUAGAACCUAGCAAAGAGGAAAGAGUAAGUGAGAGGCAGGAAGUAUCUGUAUGUGGGAACUUAUAUAAAAUCUGACAACUCUGACUAUAAUACAAGGUACAUUUUUUUAGCUUUUAAAGCAAGCAUUUUUAUACUUGGUAUAAAAGCCAAAAUUGAAAGGUGAAUUUUGGUUGGGAAUAGCUGGGGCUUUAGAUAAGGAAAAUUUUAUGUAAAAUAAUAAUUUAAGGAGGGAUACAAUUUUAAGCCUCCCCAGAUAUUUAAAGUCUAUUCUAAUUUUGUCAGUUGUUUUGUUUAAGUAAAAACUCAAAGUUAAGAGCUACUGUAAUUAAUAGUUCUUCCACUUGCAUGUAAUUGUACAAGUACUCUGAGGUUUUCAAAAAAACCAUUCAUUAUCUGCUCUGAAACCUGGAUGAGGAAAGAUAUGGUUUGUGCUGUAGACCACUGAAUUCUUCUAAAUGUCCUUAUUGAUUUCUGUCCUCAUUAAACUAUUCAAUGUGUGCUCUCAGUUUGACAGAAACUUUACAGCAACUUUAAAGUAAAUCGAAUUCACACAAAAUUUUGCAGUUCCAAAGAUGAGAAAAGAAAAAAGAUUUCAAGGUGUCACAGUUUAAACGAAAAUCUACCUGCGUCUGUGACAGGGGGGUGAGUUCAGCCCUAAAGGUGAAACCUAUUUCGGUAUAGGUUCGGCCCUAUGCCGAAAUAAAAGUUAAUUAGGAAAAGAAAACA
rnacentral:lncRNA from 1 species